rnacentral:rRNA from 1 species
CCAGCACCCCGAGUGGUCGGGACGAUUAUUGGGCCUAAAGCAUCCGUAGCCGGUCUUGCAAGUCUUCCGUUAAAUCCAGCUGCUUAACAGAUGGGCUGCGGAGGAUACUACAAGGCUAGGAGGCGGGAGAGGCAAGCGGUACUCAGUGGGUAGGGGUAAAAUCCUCUGAUCCAUUGAAGACCACCAGUGGCGAAGGCGGCUUGCCAGAACGCGCUCGACGGUGAGGGAUGAAAGCUGGGGGAGCAAACCGGAUUAGAUACCCGGGUAGUCCCAGCUGUAAACGAUGCAGACCCGGUGAUGGGCCGGCUUUAUGCCGGCUCAGUGCCGCAGGGAAGCCGUUAAGUCUGCCGCCUGGGGAGUACGGUCGCAAGACUG